rnacentral:rRNA from 1 species
UACGAAGGGGGCAAGCGUUGUUCGGAUUUACUGGGCGUAAAGGGCGCGCAGGCGGCUCGCCAAGUCAGAUGUGAAAGCCCCGGGCUCAACCUGGGAAUUGCAUUCGAGACUGAAUAGCUAGGGUACGGUAGAGGGAAGCGGAAUUUCCGGUGUAGCGGUGAAAUGCGUAGAUAUCGGAAGGAACAUCAGUGGCGAAAGCGGCUUCCUGGACCAGUACCGACGUUCAGGCACGAAAGCGUGGGGAGCAAACAGG